rnacentral:rRNA from 1 species
GACGAACCGUGCGAACGUUGUUCGGAUUCACUGGGCUUAAAGGGCGCGUAGGCGGCUUGCCAAGUCAGGGGUGAAAUCUUUCGGCUCAACCGGAAAACAGCUUCUGAUACUGGCGGGCUUGAGGAGGGUAGGGGCAGAUGGAACUUCCGGUGGAGCGGUGAAAUGCGUAGAUAUCGGAAGGAACGCCGGUGGCGAAAGCGAUCUGCUGGACCCUUUCUGACGCUGAGGCGCGAAAGCCAGGGGAGCAAACGGG